UACGUAGGGUGCGAGCGUUGUCCGGAUUUAUUGGGCGUAAAGAGCUCGUAGGCGGCUCGUUGCGUCGGCUGUGAAAAACCCGCAGCUCAACUGUGGGCUUGCAGCUGAUACGGGCGGGCUGGGAUUCGGUAGGGGAGACUGGAAUUCCUGGUGUAGCGGUGGAAUGCGUAGAUAUCGGGAGGAACACCAGUGGCGAAGGCGAGUCCCUGGACAACUUCUGACGCUGAGGCACGAAAGCUAAGGGGAGCGAAACAAGGAGUUAGUAA
rnacentral:rRNA from 1 species